CAGAACGGGCUCCCUACCCGCGUCCUCGACCCAUGGGUCCUCACCUCCAGGCUGGUGUCCUCAUUUUACAGUGGAGGAGGCCGAGACCAAGGGGCUUGGCGGGGACGGAACGGUGAGGUCAGAGAAUGCUGCAGAGGGGACAUUGGGACCAGGUCUUGCAGUGAGUUGAAGUGCUCCAGGCAGAGAGCGCCGGUGGGUCUUUCCUGGCCAGGCCGCAGGGGGCCUUUGGGAAGCACCCGAGGCCUAUAACCUUCGGAGCGUUUGUCAAGCUCUAAUGAGAACUGGAAAGCUUCAGCUUCCCGAGGUGGGCUGGGAGGGCCUUAGGUAGGGCCUCGCACAAAUUGCGAAGGAAAGCCGACCUUGUUCUGGAGAGCACGUGGUGAGGAAAGCCAGCGACUUGAUGUGAGCAUUUAAACGGGAGGAAGGAAGAUGAGAACUGGUAA
rnacentral:lncRNA from 1 species